GGAUUGUGGCUCAGGGGUAGAGUGCUCGCCUAGCACAUGUGAGGCCCUGGGUUCGAUCCUCAGCACCA
rnacentral:tRNA from 1 species